rnacentral:rRNA from 1 species
AAUUUGACCUCAAAAUCAGGGAGGACUAACCGUCGAACUUAAGCCUAAUCAAUAAGCCGGA